rnacentral:rRNA from 1 species
UGCGUAGGCGGUUAACUAAGUUUGGUGUGAAAUCUCCCGGCUUAACUGGGAGGGUGCGCCGAAAACUGGCUAGCUAGAGUGUGGGAGAGGAUAGUGGAAUUCCUGGUGUAGCGGUGAAAUGCGUAGAUAUCAGGAGGAACACCUGCGGUGUAGACGGCUAUCUGGACCAUGACUGACGCUGAGGCACGAAAGCGUGGUAGCAAACA